UGAUUUGUUAUUCUCUUGAUUUACCUUGUGUAAAAUCCUCGAAUUUGUCCAAAUCUGUUUUGGAGAAUAAGGUAACGAAAUUUUCCAAAUUUGUUUUCAAUUUAUAUUCGUGCCUUAAACAGUUUAUGUGGUUGUACAUGAAGUUUGAGUUCCAUUUGACCAAGGUUAACUCAACAACGGAGAUUCGACUACACUAUGCCCCCGAUGAGCGAAGGUUUGUUUUAAAUGAAAAAGGUAAAAUCGACCCUUAUUCUUCUGCUUAUCGAGGUAAGAUGCUUGAAACCUUUGAAACACUUUUGUACUCCUCGGAUAGUGAUAAAGAUCGUGUUGAUGAACACUUAGAUCGAAACGUGCUUGACUGUCCUAUUUUAUUUAUUGAUGAUCUAUCUGUUUUGAUGGUUGAUAAAAAGAUUCUUGUUUUUGAUAAUGCAUGCGUGAGUGAAUCUAUAGACCGUCGAUUAAUGCAUGGUAUGAUUAUGCAACUCUGUGAACCAUGUGAAUCUUUUCAAAUACCUACUUGUGACGAUUAUGUUUACCAUUUGAUUUAUUACUCGCAAUUUAUUCAUGGUUUGUGGGAACAAUGUGAGACGACUGAAUGCCUUAAAACAUGUCCAUCUUUGUUUCAAAUAUUUGACGAGGCAGUGGUGAGUAAAUUAGAUUGUUUGCAUGGUAAUCUGAAUCUGUCCAUUCACAUGCGUUAUACCUGUUCUGUUAUGCUUAUGAUUGGACUACAAGCUUGUUUCUGUUGCUAUUUACUAUCUCAUGGCUAUUCUUUUCAGUGGACUCAAUUGCCAUUAGUCCCGUUCGAUAGAGGAAAGUCGAGUUCAUUUGAUUUUUCAGAUUCGAGGAUGAAUCUUUUUGAGAAAGGGGGGAAUGAUACGAGUCACAAAAGCCCAAAUUCUUGAAGGCGAGGCCCAAUAAGCAAAUUCCCAGCCCAAUCAAGAAAUCCAUCCAUACUUAGUUGAAAAUCAGGCCAAAUUGUCAAAGUGGCCCAAGUUGUAAAGUUUUAUUUUUAUUUAUUUAUUUAUUUAUUUACUUAGUUUAAAUUUUUAUGUCAAUAUUCAGUCCAAGAGUCCCAGAUAAAAUGACCUUUGACCGAAUUUCCAUAUUAAAAUAAUUAGGAGUUUUUUUUAUUUUAGUUUUCUAAUUAGAUUAGGACUAGUUAUAAGGCCUAUUUAAAGGCAUGGCUGUCCACCUUGUUAAACACUUAUCAUUAUUAUUAAAAUUUCAGAUUUGUUGAGAGCAGAAUUUUUCUUUGAGUUUUCUCCAAGAUUUCUCUCUUGAGUUUUCUUUAGAAGUUGUUUUAACAAUCUUGUGAUUGUGGGAGCCAUCUUCAACCUUCUUCUUGCCAUUGAUAUUCUUUGGAGGGGAGAUUAGAGCCGUUUGAAGGGAGUUGUGAGAUCUUUUGAGAUUUCAAGGCUUCUUAGGACUUAUCUUUUAAUUUCUUACUAUCAAUUCUUUCUUUAUUUCUACUUGUGUUGAAUCAUUAUCUAAUCUAUUUUCUGUUCUUAUUGUGCUUUCAGCCUUUUUCUAUCUUAAGGAAUCAGCCCAAAAAUCCCCAAUUUCUAGGGUUUUUCCAUACUCUUUUUGGGUGAAAUUAGAUUGUCGAAAUUUGGGGAAAACUAUCUUGGUAUUCAAUUGGGCAGAAUCACAAUCUCCUUGAGGGUUUCAAGAACCCUAACACUUAUUUCUAUUCUCAAUUUGAUUCUUUGCUGAUUUGGUGAUUUUAUUUCAGAUCUGGAAAUUCAAAAUCUAAUCUUUUAAUUUUCUUUUUCGUUUCGGAUCUGAUUGUUUAGGGUUUUCGUAAGAGUUUCUCUUGACUUGGCAACUCGAUCUUGGUCCGCGCGCAACCCCGUAUCAGAGAGUGAAUUGCCUCACUAAAAUGAUAUUUCAUUCAGAAAUUUGUCAAAAGUCCUUUUACAAGAAAAUGAGUAACUAUUUAUAGCCUAAUGCCUAGUAGCCGAAUGGACAAAUUCUAGACUUAGUUUCUAAGCAAACAUUGAACAAAAAUGGCCAAUGUAGGUUCGGCUGAAUGGUGACCAUACAUGAAGCUUCCAUAUUAAGCAAAUGAAUCUUGGGAAUGCAUGUAGCAGCUACAUUCAGCUGAUGAGCUUAAAUGAUCAUUCAAUAGGCAACUCUUGCUGAAAAAUUAUCAAUAAUAAAGAGGGCACUUGAACAGCCACAUUAGGUGUGAAUGGACGGUUUUGAAGAGCCUUAAAAUGUGAACACCAAGAACCGAAUGGCCAAAAUGUAUCCAGCAAUGUGAAGGAAAUAAUGGCAGCUUGAAAAACUAUCUCUUUAGCCGAAUGGUCACUUAGAGAACUUCAAUAAUCAGCACACCAUUUUUAAUGUAGUUCAUGCAUGUAUCAUUAGGUGCAUUGAAUCCAACAUGCAUGCAUCUUGCACACCACAUUCGGCCAACCUUUCCCAUGCAUCUUCCACAUUCGGCUGAACCUAAAUAAAACAAAUGAACCUCAUUAAUUUAACUCAAUUCAGCUGAAUUAAUUUAAAACAUAAUAUGAACAUACUAAUUAACAUUAAGCCGAAUUAAAUAUGUACUAAACAAGACACAUUAAUUCGGCUGAACAUAGUUAAUUCAUGUAAUAUAUUCAAACAAAUUAAAUGACAUCUAGACACCUUUAAUUCAACCAAAUCAACAUAUUAAACACUUGUAAUAAAUUAAGACAUAUUUAAAAGCUAUAAUAAAACUUAUUUAAAUGCUUAUUUAAAUGGUCUAAAAUUCCAGCAGCAAAUUAAUUAGCUAGAACGAAAUUCAGCUUCAAAGAAGUUGAAUAUGUUCAGCUCGUUUUUAAACUCCUUGCUAUCAUUUUCCUCAACCCGUUCCACCAUUGCUAAAAUAGCAUCUUUGAAUCGUCUAGCUCUAGCUCGCGUUAUUGGACCAAUGGGCAGCUUAAUGGCUUCUUGUUCGUUCUCCAUUUGGUUCGUAGGCAAGCUCACAUCAUUCCCCUCCUCUUCAGAAUGAUUUGCCCUCAAAUCGGAAUCUGCAUCAAACGGAGACAAAUCAGAAACGUUAAAAGUCGCGCUAACAUUAUAUUCACCAGGCAAGUCCAAUUUAUAGGAGUUAUCGUUAAUUCGCUCAAGGACUUGAAACGGUCCAUCCCCUCUCGGAAGAAGUUUGGAUCGCCUUUGCAUAGGAAAUCUCUCCUUCUGCAUAUGCAACCAAACCCAAUCUCCCGGUUCGAACACAACUCGCUUACGACCUUUGUUAGCAUGUUGCUCAUAGUUCUUGGUCUUGGCCUCAAUAUUGUCUCGAACUCGUUGGUGCAAUUGCUUGACGAAAUCAGCUUUGCGCUUCCCAUCUACAUGAACAAGUUGAUUAGAAGGCAAUGGCAAUAAAUCAAGUGGAGUUAAUGGAUUGAAACCAUAGACAAUUUCAAAAGGAGAAAAUUUGGUAGUUGAAUGAAUAGCUCGAUUAUACGCAAACUCCACAUGUGGUAAGCAUUCUUCCCAAGCCUUCACAUUCUUCCGAAUAAUAGCUCGAAGCAAUGUAGACAGAAUCCGGUUGACCACUUCGGUUUGGCUGUCCGUUUGCGGAUGGCAAGUGGUUGAAAACAGCAACUUCGUUCCAAGAUGCCCCCAUAGUGUCCUCCAAAAAUGGCUAAGGAAUUUUGCGUCUCGGUCGGACAUGAUCGUUCUAGGCAUGCCAUGCAACCUGACCACCUCUUUGAAAAAUAAGUUAGCAAUAUUAACGGCAUCAUCAGUUUUAUGACAUGCUAUAAAAUGGGCCAUUUUUGAGAACCUAUCUACAACCACAAAUAUUGAAUCUCGGCCAUUCUUACUCCUAGGUAAACCUAGCACGAAAUCCAUGGAGAUAUCAGACCAAGGGGUUUCGGGAAUAGGUAAUGGUUUAUACAAACCGUGGGGCUUAAUCCAUGACUUAGCCCGUUUGCACGCAAUGCAUCUAUUACAAAAUCGUUCGACAUCUCGUCGCAUCUUGGGCCAAAAGAAAUGUUCGUGCAAUGUAGCUAAUGUCUUAGCAACACCAAAGUGCCCCAUUAAUCCUCCGCUAUGGGCUUCUUCGAUCAACACUUCUCGUACGGAACCUUGGGGUAUACAAAGCUUUCCUUCUCGGAAUAAGUACUGAUACGGGGUUGCGCGCGGACCAAGAUCGAGUUGCCAAAUCACGAGAAACUCCUACGAAAACCCUAAACAAUCAGAUCCGAAACGAAACAGAAAAAUUAAAAGAUUAGAACUUUGAAUUUCCAGAUCUGAAAUAAAAUCCCCAAAUCAGCAAAGAAUCAAAUUGAGAAUAGAAAUAAGUGUUAGGGUUCUUGAAACCCUCAAGGAGAUUGUGAUUCUGCCCAAUUGAACACCAAGAUAGUUUUCUCCAAAUUUCGACAAUCUAAUUUCACCCAAAAAGAGUAUGGAAAAACCCUAGAAAUUGGGGAUUUUUUGGGCUGAUUCCUUAAGAUAGAAAAAAGGCUGAAAACACAAUAAGAACAGAAAAUAGAUUAGAUAAUGAUUCAGCACAAGUAGAAAUAAAGAAAGAAUUGACAGUAAGAAAUUAAAAGAUAAGUCCUAAGGAGCCUUGAAAUCUCGAAAGAUCUCACAACUCCCUUCAAACGGCUCUAAUCUCCCCUCCAAAGAAUAUCAAUGGCAAGAAGAAGGUUGAAGAUGGCUCCCACAAUCAAAAAGAUUGUUAAAACAACUUCUAAAGAAAACUCAAGAGAGAAAUCUUGGAGAAAACUCAAAGAAAAUUCUGCUCUCAACAAAUCUAAAAUUUUAAUAAUAAUGAUAAGUGUUUAACAAGGUGGACAGCCAUGCCUUUAAAUAGGCCUUAUAACUAGUCCUAAUCUAAUUAGAAAACUAAAAUAAAAAAAACUCCUAAUUAUUUUAAUAUGGAAAUUCGGUCAAAAGUCAUUUUAUCUAGGACUCUUGGACUGAAUAUUGACAUAAAAAUUUAAACUAAGUAAAUAAAUAAAUAAAUAAAUAAAAAUAAAAAUAAAACUUUACAACUUGGGCCACUUUGACAAUUUGGCCUGAUUUUCAACUAAGUAUGGAUGGAUUUCUUGAUUGGGCUGGGAAUUUGCUUAUUGGGCCUCGCCUUCAAGAAUUUGGGCUUUUGUGACUCGUAUCAUUCCCCCUUCCUCAAAAAGAUUCGUCCUCGAAUCUAAAAAAUCAAAUGAACUCGACUUUCCUCUAUCGAACGGGACUAAUGGCAAUUGAGUCCACUGAAAAGAAUAGCCAUGAGAUAGUAAAUAGCAACGGAAACAAGCUUGUAGUCCAAUCAUAAGCAUAACAGAACAAGUAUAACGCAUGUGAAUGGACAGAUUCAGAUUACCAUGCAAACAAUUACAUUGAAAAUUUCAGAUUUGAUUUGAGUGAAAAUUCUCUUUGAGUUCUUCAAGGAUUUUCUCUUGAGUUUUCUUUAGAAGUUGUUUUAACAAUCUUUUUGAUUGUGGGAGCCAUCUUCAACCUUCUUCUUGCAAUUGAUAUUCUUUGGAGGGGAGAUUAGAGCCGUUUGAAGGGAGUUGUGAGAUCUUUCGGGAUUUCAAGGCUUCUUAGGACUUAUCUUUUAAUUUCUUACUGUCAAUUCUUUCUUUAUUUCUGCUUGUGCCGAAUCUUUAUCUAAUUUAUUUUCUGUUCUUAUUGUGUUUUCAGCCUUUUUCUAUCUUAAGGAAUUAGCCCAAAAAUCCCCAAUUUCUAGGGUUCUAGCCGAUUCAUCCAUACUCUUUUUUGGGAGAAAUUAGAUUGCUGAAAUUUGGGGAAAACUAUCUGGGUGUUCAAUUGGGCAGAAUCGCAAUCUCUUCUAGGGUUUCAAGAUUCCUUAUUAACACUUAUUUCUAUUCUCUAUUUGAUUCUUUACUGUUUUGGGGAUUUUAUUUCAGAUCUGAAAAUUCAAAAAUUCUAAUCUUUUAAUUUUCUAUUUCGUUUCAGAUCUAAUUGUUUAGGGUUUUCGUAGGAGUUUCUCGUGACUUGGCAACUCGAUCUUGGUCUGCGCGCAACCCCGUAUCAAGUACCCAUCAUGUCGAUAGUACUUCUCGUAGGCACAUAAUCUAAAGAAUUCACCAAAGUCAGCAUCGUUGACAUAUAAAUCUUUAAGAAAUACAAACCCCAUUAACUUAGCAUCCAAAAUAUUUAGCAAUGCAUACCUUCGAGAUAGUGCAUCAGCCACUACGUUUUCCUUACCUUUCUUAUAUUUAAUAACGUAGGGAAAAUAUUCGAGAAAUUCUACCCACUUAGCGUGUCGCUUAUUCAACUUGUGUUGCCCCUUUAAAUACUUCAAGGACUCAUGAUCGGUGUGUAUGACGAAUUCCUUGGGCCAAAGAUAGUGUUGCCACGUUUCUAAGGCUCGGAUCAACGAAUAGAGCUCCUUGUCAUAUGUUGGAUAGUUUAAGACAGCACCAUUUAGUUUCUCGCUAAAAUAGGCAAUAGGACGACCAUCUUGCAUCAACACAGCUCCAAUGCCUAAACCUGAUGUAUCACAUUCUAACUCGAAAGUUUUAUCAAAGUUAGGCAAAGCUAAUAACGGUGCAUGAGUUAGACAAUCUUUAAUUUUCAAAAAGGAUUUUUCUUGUUCCUCUCCCCAAAUGAAGUUGGAAUUCUUACGAAUAACCCCGGUUAAAGGUGCGGCUAAGGUGCUGAAAUUUGGCACGAAUCGACGGUAAAAACUUGCUAGUCCAUGGAAACUUCGGACUUGGGAGACAUUCGUCAGACGGGGCCAUUCUUGGAUCGCCUUGAUCUUCUCUUGAUCGACUUCAAGACCCUCUGAGCUAACAACAAAACCUAAAAACACAACCUUGUUAGUGCAGAAAUCACAUUUCUUCAAAUUAGCAUACAAGGUUUCUUUUCUCAAUACUUCCAAAAUAGAUUUUAAAUGUAAAAUAUGUUCAUCCAAAUUUUUACUAUAGAUCAAUAUAUCGUCGAAGUAUACUACGCAAAAUCUACCAAUAAAAGGUCUUAAAACGUGAUUCAUAAGCCUCAUGAAUGUGCUUGGGGCAUUCGUUAAGCCAAAUGGCAUAACGAGCCAUUCGUAAAGCCCAUGCUUCGUUUUGAACGCAGUCUUCCACUCAUCUCCCUCACGCAUCCGUAUUUGGUGAUAAUCGCUCUUAAGGUCAAUUUUUGAAAAUAAACUCGCGCCACUUAGCUCGUCAAGCAUAUCAUCCAAUCGUGGUAUAGGAUGACGAUACUUGAUAGUUAUUUUGUUUAUAGCACGGCAGUCCACGCACAUCCUCCACGUUCCAUCCUUCUUCGGAACUAGUAAAAUAGGCACGGCGCAUGGACUAAGGCUUUCACGCACAUAGCCCUUUUCAAGGAGUUCAUUUACUUGCUUUUGUAAUUCUUUCGUCUCUUCAGGAUUGCUCCGGUAAGCAGGUCAGUUUGGAAUUGCGGCUCCCGGCACAAGAUCGAUUUGGUGUUCAAUUCCACGAAUAGGUGGUAACCCACUUGGGAUUUCUUCCGGGAAUACGUCUUGAAAUUCCUGCAACACAGACAAAAUAGAAGAAGGCAAUUUGUCAUCAAAUUCGUUAGUGCCAAGCAAGCUCUCCUUGUACAAAAGAACCAACAAUGGUUGUUUCAAUAGCAUCGAUUUUCGAACUUCCCUCUCUUUUACAAACAAAUUCUUUUUUUCAAUCUCAUCACUCAUUUCUUUUGAAUCACUCUCUCUUUUUUUAUCACUCAUCUUUUUGUUUUUCUUCUUUUCUUCACUCUUUUCUUUAUUCUUUUCAUUUUUUUGCUCUCUCUCGAUUUCUUUUGAUUUUUCAAUCGAACUCCUCAUUUUGAGUUGAUCUUCGUACACUUGUUUCGGUGAUAACGGAGCUAGAGUCACCAUUCUUCCCAUAUGUUUGAAAGAGAAUCGAUUUGUGUAACCAUCAUGAAUUGCUUGCUUGUCGAAUUGCCACGGACGUCCCAAAAGAAGAUGCCCCGCAUGCAUCGGUACAACGUCGCACAUCACUUCAUCUUGAUAUUUUCCGAUUGUGAAUGAAAUGAGCACUUGUUUUGUUACCUUUAAUUCUCCACCAUCGUUAAGCCAUUGGAGUUUAUACGGAUGGGGAUGUUUGGUGGUGGCCAAUUCGAGUUUCUCCACCAUCAAUGUGCUAGCCACAUUUGUACAACUUCUGAUACGACCAUGCCCCGGGCACACUUUUGGAUCAGCUCCCUAAGCAUUGUUUGCAAAUCCAUGCGAGCUGAAUUAGUUCAAUUUCAUUUCGUUAAGCUCCGUUUAGCUCGUUUCCUGCUCACUCGAGCUCAAGUCAACUCACUCAAGCUCAAUUCAGCUCAAUCUUAACCCAAUGAGCUUAUUUUUAGCUUUCUUUAGCUUGCAUUUAUUUUGCUGAAAUAAACCAUUUAAUUUGUCAUUAGUUAAAUUAGUUGUUUAUCUUAAGUUAGUUAAUUUGUUAAAAUCUGGACAAAUAAUUAAUUAAGUGUUUUAAUUAUAUCUAAAUUAAAUACUUAAUUAAUUAUGAUGUUUUAAAUAUGUCUAAAAUUGUUAAUAUGUAUGGCCAAAUUUAAUGUGCAAAUUAUUGAGUUCAUAUGCUGCUAAUUUAAUGUGUUUAAAAUGCAUUUAACUUGCUGAUUUAAUUUGCUGCAGGUUCAUGAACGGAUUGGUGCAAUGUAUGGGAGUGUGCAUGCACAAUUGAGGUUCAAUGGAUGGCAUUUAAAGGAGCACAUGCAUUUGGGACGUUCAUGCAAGAGGGAGUUGCUGAAAGUUCAUGUAUUUGAAGAUUCAUGGAUCAUAUUUAUGGGGGAAAAUACAUGGGACGUUUCAUGCAUGAUUCAUGCAUUUUCAAGAUGACCAUUCAAGUAUUUUAGGCACAUUAAUGCCUCAUUCAGCCAAGGGAGAUGUAGGAUCAUUAAAGAGCUGCACAUUCAUGGAAUUAUGGAGAUUCUUCAAGGCUAAGGAUGCAUGAAUGCAUCAAGUGAAGCAUCAUGAUGGUUCGGCCAAUUCAUGUACCAUCUUCAAGCAUGAACUGGAUUUUAAUGCUAUUUGUGUGAACAUGUUAAAUACCUGUGUGAACAGAAUUUAAGUUAGUGUGAACAACAUAGAUGCCGAAUAUCAAUAGGCAUUUUAGGCUUAUAAAUAGCUUACUUGUUUAUUGUAAAAGGUUACAGAAUUUGAUCAAUUAAACUUAAUAGAACUUUUGUUCUUGUGAGGUUACCUCCUCUCUUCUUUCAUUCGAGUCUCGAAGCGACUUAUCUAGCUUGCUAGUGGUGUCAAUCCGAACUCCAUUAAACUUAUCACCGAAUCGGUGUGGCGUUCAACCAUCUUCCUAUACCUUUGGUUCUUACCUCCAUAUAGGUAACGGGUCAAGGUCCCCUUCUAUCCUUCAUCAAAAUUCACCUUAAGCAAUAUAAGACUCGGGCAAUACUUUUUAGUAUUGAAUCAUUCUUAAAGUUUGAGUUCUUUAUCCAUUUCCAUUUAUUUAUCAUCUUUGUAACUUAAUUCUUUGUUAAACCGAACCUAUCUUUCAUCAAACCAAAACCCAUCCUUUGAACCCAUUUUGCCUACCUUCCGCUUAUAAAACAUUCAAACUCUAUCUAUCUACAAAUUUGAACGAGCUUCUCGUUGACGAUCGGGCAUCUUAAGUGAACCCGACUCAAUUAAUCAGGCCGGAUCACAUCACAUGUUAAAUACCUGUGUGAACAGAAUUUAAGUUAGUGUGAACAACAUAGAUGCCGAAUAUUAAUAGGCAUUUUAGGCUUAUAAAUAGCUUACUUGUUUAUUGUAAAAGGUUACAGAAUUUGAUUAUUGAAAACUUGAUUGUGAGGUUUCCUCCUAUCCUAUUUCGUACGAGUCUCGUUCUGACUUAUCUAGCUCGCUAGUGGCGUCAACCCGACUUCUUGAACUUAUCACCAUCCUGGUGUGGCGUUCAUCCACCUUUUUAUACCUUUGGUUCCUACCUUUCUAUAGGUAACGGGUCAAGGUCCAUCUUCGACAAUCUAUUAAACCCACCUUAAGCAAUAUAAGUCCCGGGGCAAUACUUCAUAUAGUAUUAAAUCGUUCUUCGCUUGAGUUCUAUUUUUCCAUUCCAUUUUAACUAUUAAAUUAUAAACAAUAUUUCUUUAUUUCACUGAGCCUAUCAAACAUCUACCCAAACCAUCUUUUGAACCCAUUUUCUCAACUUUCGCUAUAAAAAAUCAUCUAACUCCAUCUAUCUACAAAAUCGAACAAACUUCUCGUCGACGAUCGGGCAAUCAAGUGAAUCGACUCAAUCAACCGAGCCAGAUCACAUCAUUUGGUAUCAGAGCUUGCAAAAUGAGGAGCACCGACGUUCGUAGCUAUCUCAAAAGAUAGGUUUGUAAAAAAAAGUUUCAAAAAAAUCAAAAAAAUCUUGAGUUGUAAUUUUAUUUUAUUUUCUCUUUUCUUUAUUGUAUUUACCUUACUAUUGUAUUGGAGUAUCACAAAAAAAAUUGAAAUUCAAAAAAAAAAAGAAGUGAGCAAAAAAAGAAAAAAAGUAAAGAAAAGAACAAAAAAAAGUGAAAAGUCUUGCGAGUUUUAUUUUCAUCUCUUAUUACUCCGAUCAUCAAGUUUCCCUACACCCAUCCCAACGCCACACUUUAAACCAAUUUUUUUCUUUAUUUAGCCUACCCUACACCCGACGUUAUCCCUUGUAACCCAUUUUGAAACCGACCCUCAAGCAGCAAAUUAAGUCUAUCGAGACGAAUUACGAAUUUGUGAGACGAGGUUGAGUGGUAAAAGGCAAGAGAGCGUGAGUACAUUAGAGUGAGCAAAAGCCUAAAAGAGAGUUCAAACUCGAGAGUGAGUGAAUUUUUCUUUUUGAGCGAAUUUGUGAGGUUUGUGGUAAGGUAUUUAUUUUCUUUAUUUUUUUUUGAACAUUUUCUUUUCCAUUACUUAAUCAUGUCUCGAGAAACAUUUUCCGAAUCAGAAUUCCAAUAUUUGAUGCAAGAGAUAAGUUGCAUGGUGAAAUUAAAAUUUGAUAAGUUGCAUGAUCGAUUGGAUCGAGUGGAGGAAAGAGCCCGAUGGAAGCCAAACUCACCAGGUCAAGAGACGAAGAUAAGAUCAUCACGAAAGCACACAUCCAAUGAUUAUUCGAGAAGAGAUUCAUACCAUGAUUCCUAUUCAAUGAGGAACUCAAGACGAAGCAAAGCAAGUUUUGAGUUUGAAGCUUUUCAAGGUGACGAACGAGAAAUCACAAGUAGUCAUUCGUAUGCACCAAGGUAUUCAUCUGCCAAGAAUCAAUCUCGAAGAGGUGAUCAUUUUUUGUAUGAAAGUCGAUCCAAUUAUACCCAACAAGAGUCAUUUAGUGCUGAUUCAUUUGUAACAUCUCCAUCCUAUAAUGAAGGAGCGAGGCAAAAAGAAAAAGAAAUAAGAAGAAAAGAAAGACAAGAAAUGUUGAUGAGAGAAAAUGAGCAUAUAUGGAAUGAAAUCGAGAGACGAAAAAAAGAAAUGAAAGAAAAGGAACAAGAAAUCAAAAAAGUGAGAGAAAAACAAAAUGAAGAGAAAGAAUUCGAAAAAGAAAUUGAGAUUGAACAAGAGUGCAAGCGAGAAAGAGAAAUCGAAAGAAAAGAAGAAAAGAUUGAAAAAGAAAAAGAAAUCCAAAAAGGGAGUGAGGUCAAAAAUAAAAUUGAAAAUGAGAGAGGAAAUGAAAAGAGAAAAAAAGAAGUUGAGAUUAGAAAAGAGUUUGAAAAAGAGAAGAGUGAAAAGGGAGAAAGCAAUCGAGCAAAAGUGAGGAAUGUUCUAACUAACCCAUUUGCAAGUUUGCCGUGUAAAUUUUCUUCUUUCCAGGUUUCCAAGGAACCGAUUGACAAGUUUCGACUUCAAUACCUUUCCAUGGAUAGAAGGUUCACUUUGGCUGAAAAAGGUAGUGUUCUCAACGAUCCUAGUUCGCCUAUGCCAAAAGGUAAGCAAGGUAUGAGUCUUGAAAUUUUUAAAGCACCUCUGCCUUUUUCGAUUGUUGAUAGGUCCUUUGUUGAUGAUUUGGUCUUUUGAAAGAAUCUAAACUUUGACGUGGCUACUUGUCAUUCUUUGAUUGAUGAUGACCCAUUUGUUUUGUCUGAUGAUAAAAAGAUUCUUGCUUUUGAAAAAUAUUAUUUUCUUGAUGAUAUUAGUUGUUUGUCAUUAACUUGCAAUGGAAUACAUGUUUUGGAUCCGCAAGAUGAAAGUCCAUAUAAAAUGUUCAUUCUCACUGAUCAUGUUGAAAAGCCUACCACGAAGAUUAGGCACCCAUUCCUCCAGGUUCCCUUGGGACCCCAGGUGAAAUUAUAUCAGAUAUUACAGGCCAGACCCCUAAGUGUGGGCCGCUGCAUUGACUAGGCCGCAUUCGAGCAGAUUCAAUUGGCUGAUGCGGUACGAGCCCUCUUAAAGACUGACCCGUGGGGGCUUUUCUUCGAGAUCAUCGAGCUAACGUAUCUCGAGUUUACAUUAGAACUCUGCUCGACGUUCCAUCUUCAGACCGUCAUAACCAACUUCAACGAUCCUGGAACGGUCCAGUUCUGCCUCGGUGGUCUAGUACGCCAGUUGAGCGUACCCGAGUUUGAGAUUGCACUAGGGCUGUACACAGAGGAGUUCAUGGACGACAAUGACCUCGACACCCUCCACCGCCACAUCCACUACUCCUCCUCGAAAUGUUGGAGGGACCUCGUCCCUGCCUCGACCACCUACUAUCCUAGCCACUCCAAGGCAUCGGCUCUCCCUCCUUCCUUGAGGUAUCUACACACAAUCUUGGCUCACACUCUGAUAGGGAGACGAGAGAGCACCGGCGUCGUCACCACCCAUGACACUUAUUUAUUAUGGGGUAUGGCAAAUGGGCAUGUCAUUGACCUCGCCUACUUUAUUGCCUUUGCCAGUCGCCACUAGACGGAGCGACACAGAAGAUGAUGUGAUCCGGCCCGGGUAGAUGAGUCAAAUGCACGUAGUUGCCCGAUCAUAGUUCGAGAGAGUCAUUCGUGUCUCGGAUUUUAGUAAUAAAAGUAAAAUAAUGGAUUAGAAUAAGCGGAAGGUUUCAAGAAGGGUAAGUUUAGUAAUAGGUUCGGUUAUGUGUAGCAAAGAUGGGUGAUGGAUAAAUGGGUCGGUUUGGUAUAACAAGAAAAUAAUUUGAAGGAUGGGAAUGGAAAACAAACUCAACGUCAGGAAUGAUUCAACACUAAGAAGUGUCACCCCGGUUCCUAUAUUGUUAAGGUGAAAGUAUGGAUAGAUGGAUAGGUGAACGCCACACCAAGAUUGGUGAUAAGUUCAAACAAGACGAUUGACGCCACUAGCACAAGCCAGAUAAGUCUUUCGAAACUUGUACGAGAUAUGAGAGGAAGCAACCUCACAAGAACAAAUGUUUAUUAACAAUUUUGGCAAAAGUCCCUUACAAUUGAAAGAAAACAAAUACUUAUAGGCACAUAGAUGACCAUUCAAAUUUGGCAUCUAGGUGUUCACACAAUAAUAAAAACGUUCACACUAAUGUAUUAAAAUAGUUCAUAAAUUCGGCAGAUUCAUGAACUAGUUGAAUGGACACUUUCUUCCCCCUAAGUGUGUGCAUGAAUGCUUAAUCAUAAAGAAAGGCUUCAAGUGACUUGUAUGUGCACCGAAGGUUGUAUUCAUCUCCUUGGGACGUUCAUGCACUUGUAUGGAACAUGUAUCCUCAUAAUUAAACUCUUUAAUAUCAUGUAGGUUCAUAAAUGACAGCAUGAACCUAGUAAAUUCGUUCUCCCCUUUGUGCAUACACUUAAUUCAAUCAAUGUGUUGAAUUAUUGAGUUAAUUCCUUCCUUUGGACGUUCUUGAACCCAUCCAUGCAUGUGUUACUGCUUAUAGGUCAAUUCAAAGUGUGAACAGCUACUUCUUGGCUGAAUAAGUGCCUUGGAAAGUUAGGAGACUGCCACCAUACAUGCACUUAAGCCAUUCAUGCAUUCUAUCAUCCCAUGCAUUUGAUCCAUUCAUGGACCACCAGCCUUUAAUGUCCAUACAUGCAUUCGACACAUGCAUGAAUUUGUAGAAACCUUGCAUCUAGCCGUACAUGCACCAGCAUUUAAUACUUCUUCAUUCAUGAGUGUGGAAUGUCCAAAAGAGAUGUUUCUUCAUCCAUACAUUGUACCGUCCAAAGGGAUGUACCUACAUGAGAUAAAAAAGUCAUUAAGAUAUCUCAUGGACACUCAUAAAUUCGGCAUGAUGUGAACACAUUAAUGUCAUGCAUUAAUUCAGCUAUGUGAACAUAAUCAAUUUAUGUAAUGACUAUGGCAUAUUAAUAACAAAUAUUAAUAUAAGACAAGUUUAAUGCUUAAAUAAAUAUGUGCAAAUUUUUAUUUAAUGCAUUAAAGACAAAACCGAGUUUAAACUAAAAUGAGCUAAGCUUUAGCUCGUGAGCUAAAGUUGAGCUGAGGCUAAACUCCUAAGCUGAAGUUGAGCUAAGGUUUAGCUCGUGAGCUGAAUAUGAGCUAGGAGUGAGCUCAGUUUAGCUCAGGCAAGUUGGAUCGAGCUUGAAUAAGCUGGAUUUGAGCUGGACGGAGCUCGUGGAGCUGGAAACGAGCUGGGAUCAGCUUGCCAACAUGUCAAUGCUUGGCUUGACAGACUUGUUCAAUGAAGUUCGCGGGGCGUGCUCGUAUCAGAAGAGGGGUCAUCUCUAUCGGGCCCUAUGUGACUCGAUUGGCUCGGCACUUUGGGCCCCUCAACACGGUAGCGCAAUCAUUCGCCCUCACUCUCAUUGGCCAGAUGUCGACACAGGGAUCUCGAGCAUGCUAAGUAUGAGGAUGAUCGAGAAAUGACGUGGCACAUACCCUCCUCAGUACCGCCUCACCCAGUCCAUCGAAGAGGAGGACCCAAAGGACAUUACUAAUGAUGUCCCUCCACGUCACGAGGAUCCACCAACUCAGCCACCACCCCCUCUCGUCCAGUUCAUGCGGCGGCUUCAUACUCUGACAUCUCUGAGCGCCCUACUCGAUUCGAGCAACAGUGUUUUCAGCGCUUCGAUAACAUUGAUGCUACUCUACAGCAGAUUUGUCAGCACUUUCACAUCUCAUCACCACGCCCACCUCACGAACCAUCUAGCGAUAAAGAUGUCUAAAAAUUUUUAUUUAUUAUUUUAUGUUUUAACUUUUAUUCUAUUUUAAGACUAUUUUUUAUUUUUCUUUAAGCUUAUUUUUAUUAGGUUUUAUUAUUAUUAUUUUACAAUUUUUAAUUUCAGCCAUUUCUUUACGAGUAAUUAUGCUUCUUUAUAUUCCCUAAAAAGUUCCUGAUUCUAUCACAGUUAUAAAGAGCUCCAAAGCUCAUCAUCGCAGAAGAACUAAAAACUCCACCGAGAAAGGUUCUCCACGACUGCCAUGUCCUGUUCGACCAUGACCAUAGCUACCACUAGAUAUGAUAUUCUUUUGGUGCAGGAUUUAUGGAUUAAUGAACCUUGAUCAUCACCGAAGUAUCCUCCUCCACUCUCAUCAUUGCUUUGGCCUAUUACUUUCUAUCACUCCAAUUCAAGGAGUUCAUUCAUCAUUCAGGAAGUUUCACUUCUCUCCCUAUCUUAUGAUUAUAAAUCUAUCUUUUUCAAUAUAUCUACCUUUGUACAUUGAGGGCAAUGUACAUCUUAAGUGUGGGGGGUCUUUUAUAUCAUCAUUAGAAAUCCUUGAAUUCUUUCUUCUUCUCACAUGAAUCACUCAUAUCACUAUUAGAAUGAAUUUUAAUUAACUUAUGAUUUUUAUUGAUAUGUCUUGAAUUAAACAUAGGCAUUUAUGCGUUGAUUGUUUAAACUUUAAGAUAUUAGGGAAUCAAGCAUGAUAAGUUAAUUUUUGAAGACUUAAAAACUUUUAGUUUGUUUCCCUAAGUUUAGGUAUUAUCUUGAGUUGGAAUUCACAAGUUUAAACAUCAAAAAGCCAUAAUUUUUGUGAGAUCUUGAGCCUUUAGAGCAUCUAUUAUUUCUUUUAUGCUCACUUUCAUUAUGAAUCAACAAAAAUUCCUAUCGAAUCGACCUACCGGGUGGGUAUAAUAUAAGUACGAGCUUUAAUAUGUCUGAUUUAUCUCUUUUUGAAGUAGGUCCUAAUUUAAGGACAAAUCGCUUUGAGGAGGGGGAUGAUACGGCCAUGCCCCGAGUCAUACCUAGCUAGAGAAGGAGCCUUUGGAGCUACCUUAAGGUCCUAUUACCUGAGCACGAGCCAAGCACUUCAAAGAGGCUAUUUCAGCCUUAGUAGAUCAAGUGUAUGGCGAGACUUUGGCUGGACACAUCGAGAGAGCUUGGACCAGCCCUACGAGUGCACCUUGCAAUCUUUUUCGAGCCGAACUAAGCUCAAACUUAGCUCCAUGAGCUCAAUUCCAGCUCAGUUUAUUUUAUACAUUUCUUUAGUUGUUGGAAUAAAUUAAAUAUUUUUAGUUAAUUUAGUUAGUUCAGCUCAACUAGUUAAGUUGUAUUUUAAUGUGUCUAAAAUCUGGACAUUUUAAUUAUGUUUUAAAUGUGUCUUAGUUUAAUACACAUUUAUUAGCUAUUUUAUUAUGUCUAAGUUUAGGACGAAUUUAUUUCAUUUUACAAUUCAAUUUGUCCAACCGAAUUUUAUGAUUACUUUUAAUAUGUCCCAGCUACUGCUGAAUUUAAUAUGUCUUAAGACUUAAGACUAACUAAUUGCUUAAUUAAAUUGAUGCAGCUACAUACAUUGGACGACAUUAAUAUGGUGUGCUGAUGGUUCAACUCUUCCAAGCACCUCUUUGUGUAUGCCAAGGGCCAAAAGUGUGCCUCAAAAUCCCUACUGUGCCUCAUCUGGCACCCCUGAAUCCUCAAAAUCCUGUACCUUUGGUGGUUACUUGAGUAUCUGUAGAUAAAAUCCAAAAGUGUGGAGCGGAGAAAUUCAGAGGCAAAGUUGAUGAUGAUCCUACAAAAGUUGAGUAUUGGUUAAUGAACAUAAAGAGAGUCUUCAUGGAGUUGAUAUGCAAUCUUGAAGAUUGUUUGAUUGUGUAGCCUCGUUACUAAAAGAUGAAGCGUACUUAUGAUGGGACACAUUGAGCACGAUGGCAUCGCCUGAUUGUGUUAGCUGGGAUUUCUUUUAGACUGAAUUUAAGAAAAAGUAUGUUAGUGAUACGAUCUUGUCUCGUGAGUUGAUUUCGAGUUGUAGUGUUGCCCGAUCGUAAAAUAGAUAAGUUUUGUUCAAUUUGGAGUUGAGUGAAUUUGGCUAAGUGUAGGCUAAAGCAAAGAUGGUUUUUAAGUGUUUUGGAAUAGUCUAAGUGAAUGUUUCAGUUAAACAAAGAAAAAUAAGAUAACUUUGAAAAGAAUAAUUCGGAUGGAUGGAAAAAGGCUUAAGGUCCAUGAAAGAACCAAUAAUAUAAGGAGUAUUGACCGGAAUCUUAUAUUGACUUUUAAGGUGGAAAGUGAUGUGAGCACACCCGGGGCAUCCUCGAAUGCACACCAAGGAUCUAUUGAGCUGCCAAAAGGUCCCAUGACCCGAGCUCGAACCAAGCAACUUCAAUAUGCUAUAUCAGCCUUUGUGAUGCGCAUUUGGGAAGAUAACCAGCUCUAUAACGUUGGAGGAGCUAAGAAUAACUCCUUGAAGACUCCAUGCACCAUUUUGCAAUCCGACCUCAGCUCCUCUUCAGCUCCCCCAUGCGCCAUUCAGUUCCCAUCAGCUCACUUGAGCUCGUUUUAGCUCGUUUGAGCUCAAAUUUAGCUCGUUUCAGUUCAUUCCUUUUUCAUUUCAAUAAAUUAAGUAUUAAUCUAGCUUAUAACUAAGUUUGUUACAGCUCAUGUCGAAUUCCCUAGCUCAAUUUAGCUCACUAAGUGUUUUUGACUAUUUGAGCUAGCUGAAUUUAUUAUAAGUUGACUUUAAUUAUUGUGUUCAAAUUGAGUUAGUGAUAUUAAGUUAUUUAGUUAUUAUUUUAAAUUAUAAUUAUAUGAAUAGUUGUGUGUUAUUUAAUUAUGUUAUUGAAUUAUGUAGGUUAGCCGAAUUUGGAAGAUACAUUCAUGGCAUUUAAUGCAAGGUGCAUGAACGGGAAUGUUCAUUGAACGAGAGGAUACAUGCAUGGACCGGUUCAAUGUUUGGAGGACAUACAUUCAUGUACAUGGAAGGUUAAUGCAUAUUGAAAGGUGCAUCUCCCUUGGAUGGCACACAUGCAUGAAUGGGGGUAAUCAAUGCAAGUGCAUGUACGGCUAGGUUCAAGGCCCCUUCCAAGUUCCAUGUACAACCGAUGCAUGUGGGAGGACCCUUGGAGUUUCCUAAGCACCUAUUCAGCCAAGAGACACUGAUACGAGUCACAAAAGCCCAAAUUCUUGAAGGCGAGGCCCAAUAAGCAAAUUCCCAGCCCAAUCAAGAAAUCCAUCCAUACUUAGUUGAAAAUCAGGCCAAAUUGUCAAAGUGGCCCAAGUUAUAAAGUUUUAUUUUUAUUUUUAUUUAUUUAUUUACUUAGUUUAAAUUUUUAUGUCAAUAUUCAGUCCAAGAGUCCCAGAUAAAAUGACCUUUGACCGAAUUUCCAUAUUAAAAUAAUUAGGAGUUUUUUUUAUUUUAGUUUUCUAAUUAGAUUAGGACUAGUUAUAAGGCCUAUUUAAAGGCAUUGCUGUCCACCUUGUUAAACACUUAUCAUUAUUAUUAAAAUUUUAGAUUUGUUGAGAGCAGAAUUUUUCUUUGAGUUUUCUCCAAGAUUUCUCUCUUGAGUUUUCUUUAGAAGUUGUUUUAACAAUCUUGUGAUUGUGGGAGCCAUCUUCAACCUUCUUCUUGCCAUUGAUAUUCUUUGGAGGGGAGAUUAGAGCCGUUUGAAGGGAGUUGUGAGAUCUUUCGAGAUUUCAAGGCUUCUUAGGACUUAUCUUUUAAUUUCUUACUGUCAAUUCUUUCUUUAUUUCUACUUGUGCUGAAUCAUUAUCUAAUCUAUUUUCUGUUCUUAUUGUGUUUUCAGCCUUUUUCUAUCUUAAGGAAUCAGCCCAAAAAUCCCCAAUUUCUAGGGUUUUUCCAUACUCUUUUUGGGUGAAAUUAGAUUGUCGAAAUUUGGGGAAAACUAUCUUGGUGUUCAAUUGGGCAGAAUCACAAUCUCCUUGAGGGUUUCAAGAACCCUAACACUUAUUUCUAUUCUCAAUUUGAUUCUUUGCUGAUUUGGGGAUUUUAUUUCAGAUCUGGAAAUUCAAAGUUCUAAUCUUUUAAUUUUUCUGUUUCGUUUCGGAUUUGAUUGUUUAGGGUUUUCGUAGGAGUUUCUCGUGACUUGGCAACUCGAUCUUGGUCCACGCGCAACCUCGUAUCAUUUGGUAUCAGAUUUUGGGCGUUUUGGGUGUUCUUGGUUGAUUUCUAAACUGAUCUCUAUUUUUUAAAGCAUAAACAGCAGUUUUACCCAGAAAAAUUGUUCAAAAAAAUUCAUUUGAGUGGGUAAACGUUGUCCGAUUGAUCUGAAAUUUUACAUACAUGUUUUUGGCACUGUGAUUGAAUAUUAAAAAAUUAUUCCCGCAAAAAUAUCAUUCAAAAAAGUCAAAAAAAUCAAAAAAAUACGAAAUUCAAUAAAAAUUUAAAAAAAGAUUCAGCGGAUCGAAUUUGGUGCCCAAAAUUUCCAGAUCAAAAAUUCAAUAUAUAAGGACACUCCAGAUUUAAUUUCGUGAUUUUUGGAGAUCGGGAACACCUCUAACGAAGUUGUCAAGUUACUCCGCAGUUUUUCGGGUUUUCUAUUUUCAGCAAUUUUUAUUGAUUCUUAGCUGUAGGUUUUCAUUUGUUUCCCUUUAUUCUUCCUUUACGUUAUCUAACACCUUCUUGUUUCUUGUGUUAGUAGGAUUUAAACGUGUGCACAACUUCUCCUCGGUGCAACACGAAUCAAUUGGUGUCUCGUCAGUUUUUGGCAUCCUAGUGCAAAUUAGGAUUCUUUGGUAGUUUGGUUCACACUCUCUAAUUGGUUGAUAUAAACUCUGAUAAAGAACUCACAAGAUUGAAUUCGACCUCAUUGAGAAUUUGAUUUUUUCUUUUUGAGUGAUUAACGGUGAGGUUUGAUAACUUUUAUUUUUGAGUGUUGAGUGUUUUGCAGGUUUUAAAAAAAAAUGUCUACAGGUGAUAAUACUAGUGACAUAUUUAAAAAAUUCCAACAACAGUUGGACGAACAGGCUGCUGCACUUCGAGCGUUGACUGCUACUAUCAAUGAGGUGCGGUUGAAUCAAGAGCCUCAAUAUCGAGAUCAAAUUAAAGACGAUGUGGAUAACCAGCCUCCUGCUCAUAGGCGCGCUCCUCGGCGUGUCCCUAGAACUGAUUAUGAUCUUCAUGAUCGUGGACAACCCCCUUUGGCAAAACCAAAGAGCGAGCAGCAAUGAGAACAUCUCUUUCAUACUCGCUGCCAUGUACAAGGUAAGCUUUGUAGAGUUAUUAUUGAUGGUGAAAGUUGCUCGAACGUAGCCAGCACGACGAUGGUGGAAAAGCUUUGCUUAACCACUACCAAGCAUCCACGACCUUAUCAACUACAAGGGCUUAGCAACGAAAGCCAAUUUAAGGUCACUCAACAAGUGCGCAUCGCCUUUUCUAUCGGUAAAUAUCAAGACGAAGUCGUGUGCGACGUAGUACCUAUUCAAGCCUACCAUUUAUUGCUAGGAGAACCAUGGCAACUGGAUCGAAAAGUCACUCACGAUGGUCGUACCAAUAGGUAUUCUUUCAAGCAUCAAGGAAAGAAACUUACCUUAGUGCCGCUCACUCCGGAACAAGUCCAUGAGGACCAAAUCAAACUGAGAAAUUCUGUUAAAACAAGUGAGGAAAAAGAAAAAAAGAAUGAAAAAGAGCAAAAAGAGAUUGAGAGUGAAAAGGAAUGUGAAACAGAAAAGAAAUUUGAAAAAGAAGUUGACGAAAGAAGAGAAAAUGAGUUAGAAAAAGAAACAAAAGAAAAAGACGAGGAAAGGCUAGUGAGGAAUGUUUCCACUAACCAAGAUAUGAUUUUUUCUUGUGUUGCUACUUUUCAGGUUCCUGAAAGAUCGAAAGAUAACUUUCAACUUCAAUACCUCUCAAAUGAAAGACGCUUUCAUACGAUCAACUUAGGCAAAGAUGAAAUCACACUACAUGAUCCCGAAGGUAAGCGAGGUAAGGAAAUUUUAGAAACCGAGUCCAGUGCAGAUUUGAAAAUUAUUGAUAAAACUUUUGGUGACUUAGUUCUUAAAAGAUCCCCUCAUUUUGAUCCGAUUAAUUGUUACUCUUCGAUUGUGGUUGAUAAAGUCAUUACGAAAAGAAGCGUGAUUUGUUAUUCUCUUGAUUUACCUUGUGUAAAAUCCUCGAAUUUGUCCAAAUCUAUUUUGGAGAAUAAGGUAACGAAAUUUUCCAAAUUUGUUUUCAAUUUAUAUUCAUGCCUUAAACAGUUUAUGUGGUUGUACAUGAAGUUUGAGUUCCAUUUGACAAAGGUUAACUCAACAACGGAGAUUCGACUACACUAUGCCCCCGAUGAGCGAAGGUUUGUUUUAAAUGAAAAAGGUAAAAUCGACCCUUAUUCUUCUGCUUAUCGAGGUAAGAUGCUUGAAAC
rnacentral:lncRNA from 1 species